UCUAAUCCCAACCCUUUGUAUGAUAUUUUUGUCAUCUAGAUUUUUAUAGAUGGUUAUGUUGUAUGUUCAUAUUCAUAUGUUGGCUCGGAGAUCCCUUUUGUGGCUUCUACUUUAUCAUGAAGAUUGUCGACAAGGAUUGAGAAGACAUAAUUGCUUACUAAUUAGAUUUCCAUAGAUGGUUAUGUUGUAUGUUCAUAUUCAUAUGUUGGCUCGCAGAUCCCUUUUCUGGCUUCUACUUUAUCAUGAAGAUUGUCGACAAGGAUUGAUAAGAGAUAAUUGCUUACUAAUUGCUCGUGUGUUUUUCAUCUCAGUGCUUCUCGGUGCCCUUCAUAAAGAACUUUCUCCCCGGAUUGUCUAUCAAAUCUCCAGUUGGAAAUAUCAGUCUACAGGCCCGUCUGAUAAAAUUAACCUUUAACAACCAACUGGAUGAUUAGCUGCUCCAUCAUGCUACAUACGCCUCUUUGUUGAGUGUUUUUCCCCGUUUUCUUGGAGAGUGCUACCUUUGCAAUGGUUUGGCCAUAAAUCUGUUGUCCGCACAAGUAGUACUGCUAAUUUGCCCUUUUUAAUGACGAUUUAUGCUUUCCGUACGCAAGUAUUUUAUUUGCAGUUUUGCAUUAGCCAAAUACUGAACUUCAGUGGGAGACAUUCACUGUUUUUCAGAUUUGAUGGAAAAACAAAAAAUAUGCCGCCAAUCGGCGUAAUUUUAUAACCGUUCUCGUCAUCUGAGUAACAUCCGAAAUGGCUAAUCUGAUCGGUUUUGCUGCUUGUGUAGAACCGACGACAAGCUUGUUGGCGGGCAUCUGGCAGGAUCGGUGAACAUCCUCUACAUGUACAAUACCAGCUCAGGCAAUUAUUAGAACUCUGUCAGUUAGUUAAGCUCUUGUGAUCAUUGAAAGGGAGGGGGGAUUAAGGUGUUUCCAUCAACAACCAUUUAUUGGUCGAGUGGACUCAGAACUGGAUUCGUACUGAAAAAUCAGGGUUGGCAUCAUGAUAACAAGCAUGGUCACCUUAAGUCUCAACUCUGAGCCUCCUCUUGGAAAAAAUGCCCGCAUUCCAAACAAGUCCAUUUACAGACUCUAAACCUCCUCUAUGAGCACCAAGUAGACACUCUCUUUGCUAUGUUUUGGCACAAAGAGCCAGACAUCAAGUACUACGUGUGCACAAUCAACAGGACAUUUGCCAAACCAGGCCAGCGCAUGGUAUGCUCAAAUGCACAGCCUAUUCAAUGUUUACUAACUUCAUAAUGUAGCAAGUUGUAUCUCCAUACCACACAACUCCCACUUUUUAUUGUUUUUUUAACAGAAAAGAUGCUCAUUUAUUCUAACCGAGUAUCUGUGCUUUUAACCUUAUCUUUUCAACACCACUACUAAUGCUUUAAUGCCAUCCGCACACUGUAUAUGAAAAUGAUUAAUUUGCCUUGUGUAAGCCCAAUUUUCUUUCAUCGCCAUUCUUUACCACUCUCAUACUUAGUUAUACUCAAUCAGAUUCAUUGAACUCGCUUUUACAAUAUUACUUGUUUUUUCUUAGAGCUCUAUAAUCUACUGUAGUCGACCAUUCAAUUACAAGCACAUCUAUUUUUAGUUCUUCAUCUUCCUUUACUACUUCACUCUUUUCAUGAGCUUCACCAGCCAUUUUACAGAAUAUGAAAUGUUGUUUUCUUAUGCAUUUUAAUUACCUUUACAACUGUAACUUUGUGAUGAUACAAACGAAAGUUGCACAUAUUUUCCUAUUUAUACUAUUGUUCUAUCCAUGCUUAAAAUAUAACAAAUCAUAUUCUGUUCAUACUACUUAACAGUCAGCAGUUUACUUAUGUUACAAAUACCAAUUAUAUUCCCUUUCUCACCUGAUCAACACCUGAUCUGUUGUUAUUUUUCUCCUACCACUUAUGAAAUUUCUACUUUGCCUUUUCUAGCUUACCAUUUUUUCAUUCGUUUGUUCUCUGUUCAUACACUAAGCUGUACAUACUCAAAUCGUCAAUUGCACACCAGAAAUAUUGACUUCUCUUUGCUCUUUCAUGAGCCAUUUUACUUGACCAUUCAGAAUGUUGGGUCCUCAAGACGUGUAGUGAAUAACAGUACUUUGCUAACACCAUUAAUAUCAUGAAUAUCCAUAGAACACGCUCUUAUCUUUCAUAUCACACAACAAUUUAUGUCCAUGUAAAUAACUUACUUUCUUCUACCAGUAUUUUUAGGUUAACUAUACUGAAGAGAACUUGCAGGACUACAUUGAUCCAAACAAUGAUACACUCAUGGUCAUACUUGCAGACCGCCAUCUGCUCGCCGAAUGUUGCAUCAUGCUAGGAAUGGACAAAAGGGCCACUAUAACCACCAACUGGCCUGAGUUUUGUCGCCGCGCCAACAUUCGCGAGGGAGACAUAUGUGCAUUUCGUUUCAGGAUAACUUCAAAGCGCCGCCUGGUCCUCACCGUGCACUACCUCUAGAUGCACCAUCGAAGAUGAUGCAGCCCCUGUGUCAAUAUAAUCUAGCAUUAAGUACUCCUAAUUAUGUUAUAUCCUGUGAUAACCUAUCGGUUGCUUUUGGGUCCUCUUAUCACAUGCUUUUCAAGACACUAAACCUACGUUGCUGCUUAUGUUAAGUGCACUAUUGUCAGUCAGAUGUUUCAUGUUCAGAUCCAUAAUGAGCUUUCUCUGUAAA
rnacentral:lncRNA from 1 species